rfam:Oryza glaberrima chromosome 10 Oglab10_0098_4, whole genome shotgun sequence.
UAUAAGUGCAGCGAUGAGUUUUGUGCCCAAUUUUAAUCGUCUCUCUUAUUUGAAAUUUUUUUAUGAUUAGUAUUUUUAUCGUUAUUAGAUGAUAAAACUAGUUCUUUAUGCGUGACUUAUGUUUUUAAACUUUUUUAAAAAAUGUUUCAAAUAAGACGGACGAUCACGGAAAAUCAUGGCUGCACUUAUA